GACGAACGCUGGCGGCGUGCUUAACACAUGCAAGUCGAACGGAAAGGCCUGCUUUCCCUUGUGGAUUGCGGGUACUCGCGUGGCGAACGGGUGAGUAACACGUGAGUGAUCUGCCCCCAACUUGGGUAUAAGCCUGGGAAACUGGGUCUAAUUCCCGAUAGGACUGCAGGGUGGUGCCUGUGGUGGAAAACGAUUUUCUAGUGGUUGGGGAUGAGCUCGCGGCCUAUCAGCUUGUUGGUGGGGUAAUGGCCUACCAAGGCGGCGACGGGUAGCCGGCCUGGGAGGGUGGACGGCCACAUUGGGACGGAGAUACGGCCCAGACUGCUACGGGAGGCAGCAGUGGGGAAUAUUGCACAAUGGGGGGAAGCCUGAUGCAGCGAAGCCGCGUGGGGGAUGACGGCCUUCGGGUUGUAAACUCCUUUCGACCGCGAGGAAGCCACCUGGUUGGAAGGGUGGUGACGGUAGUGGUAGAAGAAGCACCGGCUAACUACGUG
rnacentral:rRNA from 1 species